UAGGGAGUGAAGUUGAAAUCUGUGAAUGAAGCAAAAAUAGGGAAAGCAAUGGAGGUUAAUUCCAGGAAUUCUCCAAGGAAAAAGCUUGCUGAUAUCAGCAAUUUACCGGUGCGAAAGAGAUUCUCUAGCCAAGAUAAGAAGCCAGAAAAUAUCCCAACUGUUUCGAAAGAGUAUAUAGAAAGGAUCCAGAAGGAAAAUUUGGCGUUAACGGAGAUGUUAGCGGAAAGAAACAAAAUUAUUGAAAUAACUGGAGUAGAGGUAGAGAAACUGAGAAUUAAUAUGCGGAAAAUGCAACAACAAAAUCAACAGCUCGCUCAAGCAAACAGUAAAAUGCUUGCGGAACUAAAUACAGAUAAAGAUAGGGUAAAAACAUUACGACACGAGCUUGGAUGCAUAAAGGGCUUACUUAAUGCUCGAAAGUCUGAAGCAGAGGAGCAACCAAGAAUAGAAAUGUGCCAGAAUCUGAAUGAUGAGGCGAAACCCAUGAAGUGUGAGGAGGCAAGAGAUCUAUCAUUAGGAAAUGGAGACGAUGAGAAAGAAAAAAAUCUCAAAAGGAUACGUCAGUCAAAGAGCGUGGGAUCUUCUGAGCAAGGUCAAUCUGAGGAUAAGACGGAAAAUAAAAGAUCCUGUGUAAGGAGGCAAUCUGCUCGGUUUAAACCUGAGGCACUAAAACCCAAUGAAGAUUCUUUCGAGGUACAAGACAAAUGUGCUCUGCACCCACCAACAAGUGAUCCAGUGCAAGAAAAUAGUUCGACAUCAAUUUGCAUAUCAUCCAAUGGUCUAGACUGCAAUCCUUCAUCAAGGUUUGAACCUAUACAGUUCGGAAGAUCAUCUCUGAGUAGGCCAUCGAGGGAGGCAGCUAAGAAGGUCCACUCAUACAAGGAAAUUCCUGUGAACAUAAAAAUGCGAAGACCACAAUGAAGAACCUGCUCUUUAUAUCAACCUCUAUGAUAUUGGAGCAAGUGCUGAAGUGCUGAAUGACCCCUUGAAGUCAUUGAUAGAAGUAGAAACAACAAAAGAAGGUGGUACAUGAUAUAGCAUCAAGUUCUCAUAAAAAAAUCCUCCUUGCUUCAUGCUGCACAAGGCCAUCCGCCGCUCCAUUUGCUUCUCGCAAGCUUUAGUGAAGGGUAUCCCAGUUUACGUACUCUCAUUAAAUGAGAGUAGCAAUUGUUUCCAUGCUGCAGCAUGUUAUUCAUUUCUUUUGACUCUGUUCUAUCGUAAGAGGACGAGUUUGUGUUAUAAAGCCUGAUUCAAUCCAACGUGUAGCGCUCUUAGUUCAACAAGUAUGUUGGCGAUAAGAAGGGUUGAUUGAUUAUAUCUGGUAAUCCAGUUACCAUUGUCUCUAAAAAGUUCUCCAAUGCCCCUUUCCCCAGAUUUCCCAGUUAUGGGCCUUCUUCAUUUAAUUUGAAAAGCUUUUUGUCUGAGGGUUC